CGGUGGGCUAUGGAGAUAAUUCAACUUCCAGAGGCUUCCUCAUAAAUUUUUGGAAUUUUUGAGACACAGAUAAACUUCGGGUGAUCGAGAUCAGCUAUUUUUCUGCGUCCAGCAGCCACAAUAGUCAUGGGUGUACUGCCACAGGAGGAGUUAUUUUACAGAGCAACCUGUUUUCUUCCUCGCAGGUUUAACGUCGAUUAUUUAGCUGUUUUACUAUCUUUUCUAAAUUUAAAAUCUAGAACUCCGC